rnacentral:tRNA from 1 species
GGGCCUCUAGCUCAGUCGGUUAGAGCACCCGGCUCAUAACCGGUAGGUCGAGGGUUCGAGUCCCUGGAGGCUCACCA